rnacentral:rRNA from 1 species
UACGAAGGGGGCUAGCGUUGCUCGGAAUCACUGGGCGUAAAGCGCACGUAGGCGGCUUUCUAAGUCAGGGGUGAAAUCCCGGAGCUCAACUCCGGAACUGCCUUUGAUACUGGAAAGCUUGAGUCCGGGAGAGGUGAGUGGAACUGCGAGUGUAGAGGUGAAAUUCGUAGAUAUUCGCAAGAACACCAGUGGCGAAGGCGGCCGGCUGGGCCGUCCCUGACGCUGAGGCGCGAAAGCGUGGGGAGCAAACAGG